GGUUGCGAUCAUACCAGCACUAAUGCACCGGAUCCCAUCAGAACUCUGCAGUUAAGCAUGUUUGGGCGAGAGUAGUACUAGGAUGGGUGACCCCCUGGGAAGUCCUCGUGUUGCAACCCC
rnacentral:rRNA from 1 species